CAAGGCUUGAGAGUUCUUUCUGCGCAUGACUUCUGAGGCUUGGCUGGGGAGGGGAGAAGAUGGAGAGAAGUCCAGUUCAAACAUCAGGUCCACAUCGUGGUCCCCUUGCCCAUCACCACCAUUUCCUAAUAACAAAAACAUUAGACACCAGUUCACACUUCCUUGUAGCUUAAGACACUUCCCAUUUUGUGUAAAAAAACAGCCAGAAGUGGGAGAAAUCACCACUAGCGUCCUGGAGAUCCUAGGUGGAAGAAGCUAGCACCAAACAACCCUGAAAACCAGCACUCCCUGGCACUGGUCUCUUAAGAAACACAGGAGCACCUCCAUGGAAGGUGGUUUUCAUUUGGGUUGCACUUUUCUCGGGAAGAAAUCAUUAUCUAUUGAUCCAUCCAUUUUCAUUGGAUAAUCAAAAAGAGAGUUUGAAAUUAGUAAUAGACCUUGGAAAUGUCAGCUUCAGGAAAAGCCUACGAUGAUAGCAACUCAGAGGCCAGUCUGGUCUACAGAGCCACACAGAAAAGCCCUGUCUUGAAAGAAAAUAAAAUAAAAAGAAAGAAGGAAAAAGAAAAAAAAAAGCAACUGCAGUUACCCCAUCUCAAGAACGUCUUAGAACUGAAGAUCGCUUUUAAGUACUUGACUCCAAGUGCCGACAGGAUGUCCGUGUGUAGGAGUUGGAGCUCAUAGUUGGCCGGUAUGGGUUGAAUGGCACAGAUUAUAAUGCAUUUAUACAAACCAAUCAAUUGCCCAAGAAU